UCAGGCGGGGGUGGUGGGAUGGGGGUGGUGGGGUGUUCUGGUCUGGGGUCGGGAGCGGGCAGGGGCUCACUCACCUAGUUCCAGGUCAGUCUGCGGCGGCGGAAUGUAAGAAUGGGGUGCUAGCGGAUUGGUGGGGCAGGGGGCUCCUCCCUCUCUGGGCGUGUCUGGCCCAAGCCGGCAGGCUCAGGAGGGGGUGGUGGGAUGGGGGUGGUGGGGUGUUCUGGUCUGGGGUCGGGAGCGGGCAGGGGCUCACUCACCUAGUUCCAGGUCAGUCUGCGGCGGCGGAAUGUAAGAAUGGGGUGCUAGCGGAUUGGUGGGGCAGGUGGCUCCUCCCUCUCUGGGCGUGUCUGGCCCAAGCCGGCAG
rnacentral:lncRNA from 1 species